rnacentral:rRNA from 1 species
UACGUAGGCAGCGAGCGUUGUUCGGAGUUACUGGGCGUAAAGCGUGCGUAGGCGGUGUCUUAAGUUUGUUGUGAAAUCUCCCGGCUUAACCGGGAGGGUGCGGCGAAUACUGAGAUGCUGGAGUGCCGGAGAGGUAAGCGGAAUUCCUGGUGUAGCGGUGAAAUGCGUAGAUAUCAGGAGGAAUACCUGCGGUGUAGACGGCUUACUGGACGGUAACUGACGCUGAGGCACGAAAGCGUGGGUAGCAAACAGG